rnacentral:rRNA from 1 species
CUGGUUGAUCCUGCCAGACCCGACUGCUAUCAGAGUGGGACUAAGCCAUGCGAGUCAACGCAGCAAUGCGUGGCAUACGGCUCAGUAACACGUAGUCAACAUGCCCAGGGGACGUGGAUAACCUCGGGAAACUGAGGAUAAACCGCGAUAGGCCAUGGUUUCUGGAAUGGAUCAUGGCUGAAACCUACAUGGCCCCUGGAUUGGGCUGCGACCGAUCAGGCUGUUGGUGAGGUAAUGGCCCACCAAACCUGUAACCGGUACGGGCUCUGAGAGGAGGAGCCCGGAGAUGGGCACUGAGACAAGGGCCCAGGCCCUAUGGGGCGCAGCAGGCGCGAAACCUCUGCAAUAGGCGAAAGCUUGACAGGGUUACUCUGAGUGAUGUCCGCUAAGGGCAUCUUUUGGCACUUCUAAAAAUAGUGCAGAAUAAGGGGUGGGCAAGUCUGGUGUCAGCCGCCGCGGUAAUACCAGCACCCCGAGUGGUCGGGACGAUUAUUGGGCCUAAAGCAUCCGUAGCCGGUUCUGCAAGUCUUCCGAUAAAUCCACCUGCUUAACAGAUGGGCUGCGGAGGAUACUACAGGGCUAGGAGGCGGGAGAGGCAAGCGGUACUCAGUGGGUAGGGGUAAAAUCCUCUGAUCCACUGAAGACCACCAGUGGCGAAGGCGGCUUGCCAGAACGCGCUCGACGGUGAGGGAUGAAAGCU